GGUCCGUUAGCGCAGUGGUUAACGCGCUUACUUUAGGUCAUCUUUUGUGAAUAAUCGCGGUUUAUUCACAAAGGAUUACCCUUAGUGAGAGGUUAUAGGUUCAAAUCUUAUAUAGGUUA